rnacentral:rRNA from 1 species
UAGUGAGUUUGAUCCUGGCUCAGGGUGAACGCUGGCGGCGUGCUUAAGACAUGCAAGUCGAACGCAGUAGCUUGCUACUGAGUGGCGCACGGGUGAGUAACACGUAACUGACCUACCCCGUAGUCCCGCACAACGGUCCGAAAGGACCGCUAAUUCGGGAUGUGAACCCGCACCGUGGUGCGUGUUUAAAGAUUCAUCGCUAUGGGAUGUGCUCGCGGCCUAUCAGCUUGAUGGUGAGGUAAUGGCUCACCAUGGCUUCGACGGGUAGCCGGCCUGAGAGGGUGACCGGCCACACUGGGGACUGAGACACGGCCCAGACUCCUACGGGAGCAGCAGUGGGGAAUAUUGGACAAUGGGC